rnacentral:tRNA from 5 species
GGCUAUGUAGUUUAAUAGGGUUAAAAUACUCCCCUGUCACGGGAGAUGAUGUGAGUUCAAGUCUCAUCGUAGCCG